UUUUGGACAAUGUGCGCAAGCCUGAUCCAGCAAUGCCGCGUGAGUGAAGAAGGCCUUCGGGUUGUAAAGCUCUUUUGUCAGGGAAGAAACGGUAUAGGCUAAUAUCCUUUGCUAAUUACGGUACCUGAAGAAUAAGCACCGGCUAACUACGUGCCAGCAGCCGCGGUAAUACGUAGGGUGCAAGCGUUAAUCGGAAUUACUGGGCGUAAAGCGUGCGCAGGCGGUUUUGUAAGUCUGUCGUGAAAGCCCCGGGCUCAACCUGGGAAUUGCGAUGGAGACUGCAAGGCUUGAAUCUGGCAGAGGGGGGUAGAAUUCCACGUGUAGCAGGGAAAUGCGUAGAGAUGUGGAGGAACACCGAUGGCGAAGGCAGCCCCCUGGGUAAAGAUUGACGCUCAUGCACGAAAGCGUGGGGAGCAAACAGG
rnacentral:rRNA from 1 species